UGGAAACCCAGGUUUAUGUAGCAACAAUCUGAGGAAUAUCCAACCUUGUUCAGCCACUUCUCGCACUUCUGGUCACCGUCGCGUACUUCUUUCUUGUAUUGCAGCCGGUCUGCUAGUUUUGGUCAUUUUUUCUGGUUGUUUAUUGUUUGUGAAGCUAAGACAAAACAAUCUUGAUCAUCCACUAAAGCGGAGUCCUUGGGAUAUGAAGUCUUUUAGAGCACUAAAUUUUAGUGAAAG
rnacentral:misc_RNA from 1 species